GCGUGAGUGAAGAAGGCCUUCGGGUUGUAAAGCUCUUUUACCCGGGAUGAUAAUGACCGUACCGGGAGAAUAAGCCCCGGCUAACUCCGUGCCAGCAGCCGCGGUAAUACGGAGGGGGCUAGCGUUGUUCGGAAUCACUGGGCGUAAAGCGUGCGUAGGCGGCUAUUCAAGUCAGAGGUGAAAGCCUGGGGCUCAACCCCAGAAUUGCCUUUGAAACUAGGUAGCUCGAACACGGGAGAGGUGAGUGGAAUUCCGAGUGUAGAGGUGAAAUUCGU
rnacentral:rRNA from 1 species